CCUUCGGGAGGCAGCAGUGAGGAAUUUUGGUCAAUGGACGAGAGUCUGAACCAGCCACGUAGCGUGAAGGAUGACUGCCCUCUGGGUUGUAAACUUCUUUUAUAAAGGAAUAAAACGAGGCACGUGUGCCUUUUUGCAUGUACUUUAUGUAUCCGGAUCGGCUAACUACGUGCCAGCAGCCGCGGUAAUACGGAGGAUCCGAGCGUGAUCCGGAUUUAUUGGGUUUAAAGGGAGCGUAGAUGGGUUGUUAAGUCAGUUGUGAAAGUUUGCGGCUCAACCGGAGAAUUGCAAUUGAUACUGGCAGUCUUGAGUACAGUGGAGGUAGGCGGAAUUCGAGGUGUAGCGGUGAAAUGCGUAGAUAUCACGAAGAACCCCGAUUGCGAAGGCAGCUUACUAAUCUGUGACUGACAUUGAGGCUCGAAAGUGUGGGUAUCAAACAGGAUUAGAUACCCCAGUAGUC
rnacentral:rRNA from 1 species